CCUACGGGUGGCAGCAGUAGGGAAUAUUGCUCAAUGGGCGAAACCCUGAAGCAGCAACGCCGCGUGGAUGAUGAAGGUUUUCGGAUUGUAAACUCCUUUUGUUAGAGAAGAUAAUGACGGUAUCUAACGAAUAAGCAUCGGCCAACACCGUGCCAGCAGCCGCGGGAAUACGGAGGGUGCAAGCGUUACUCGGAAUCACUGGGCGUAAAGAGCGCGUAGGCGGGGUAGCAAGUCAGAUGUGAAAUCCUAUGGCUUAACCCUAGAACUGCAUUUGAAACUGGUAUUCUAGAGUGUGGGAGAGGUAGGUGGAAUUCUUGGUGUAGGGGUGAAAUGCGUAGAGAUCAAGAGGAAUACUCAUUGCGAAGGCGGCCUGCUAGAACAUAACUGACGCUGAUGCGCGAAAGCGUGGGGAGCAAACAGGAUUAGAUACCCGAGUAGUC
rnacentral:rRNA from 1 species